rnacentral:tRNA from 1 species
GGAAAUGUGCCCGAGUGCAGGGACCACCCUGAUGAGGUGGAUACAGAGACCAGCCACCCUCUCAUUUCCU